rnacentral:misc_RNA from 1 species
UCCGGUUCAUCACCGGCAGUCUCCUUAGAGUCCCCACCAUUACAUGUUGGCAACUAAGGAUAAGGGUUGCGCUCGUUACGGGACUUAACCCAACAUCUCACAACACGAGCUGACGACAGCCAUGCAGCACCUGUCUCAGAAUUCCUUUCGGCACUCCCGCAUCUCUGCAGGAUUCUCUGGAUGUCAAGGGUAGGUAAGGUUCUUCGCGUUGCAUCGAAUUAAACCACAUGCUCCACCGCUUGUGCGGGCCCCCGUCAAUUCCUUUGAGUUUUAAUCUUGCGACCGUACUCCCCAGGCGGAUAACUUAUCGCGUUAGCUUCGAUACUGAACAGUCUAAGCUGCCCAACAUCUAGUUAUCAUCGUUUACGGCGUGGACUAC